CUAAUGAUAUAUCUAAGAUAAAAAGUAAUUAUGGUAGAAAUUCUAGUAGUACCAAGCUGAAAGCGACUGUGAAUCCUAAACUUGCCUACGCUCAUCCAAACCGACCUCAAAAGCAAUCGAAAAGUGAAGCCGUUCCUUCUUUGGCGAUAGUUCCAAGGUGCACUAAAAUAUAGUUUGGAAGAUAUCUUAAGAAAAGAUUUUAGCAUCGGUAAAAGUAGGUCUAGAUGUGAUCCGGUUCGAUUCGGUUCUAAAGAGAAUCGAAUCGAAUUCAAAUUUUUGGAAAAUUUAAUAAAUAGAACCGUCGGGUCUAAAUUUAAUUAUGGAACCAUUCGUGUUCGGUUCUAUUUAGUUCAGUUUGAUUUCGUUUGAUUCCUGGAUUCCAUACAAAUAAUUAAAUUUUUUAAUAUUUAAAAUGCUACAUUAAUUCAACUAAUGAUAUGUUCAAUAUUAACUCUUACAAAAUAACGCAGUUUAAUCUUAUGUAUCUUUUGCAUAUCUCUUUGUUGAGUUAUUCAUAGAUUUGAUUGUUAAACUAACAUGAAAAUGAAGAUAGUGAGCUCACAAUAAUGAAGUGAGGCAUAGUCGAGCUUUCAAUUAGAUUCCCC
rnacentral:lncRNA from 1 species